rnacentral:tRNA from 1 species
CCCGGCGUAGCUCAGCCUGGUAGAGCGUCCGGCUGUAGACCGGAGGGCCGCAGGUUCAAAUCCUGCCGCCGGGACCA